ensembl:lncRNA
AAUGGUAUUUCCUUCUGACAGGAUAGAAGGACAAGGACUUGAUCAAAGCAGAUAAGGAAGGGAAGACAUGAAAAGACCCCUUUUCUACCAAAAAAAAAAAAAACCAAAACUUAAAAAAACCAAACAAAACCAAAACACAGGCUUGGUAUGUAAUCCAGGAAACGGAAGACCAACGUGGUUGACUUGGAGUAGGAACUAAAGCCUGUGCCUCCCAAAUCUAAGGUGAGUAGAAGGGUAACUUUUUUUUCUAAGGUAGGUUUCUUUUUCUCACUACUAGCUUUGGGGAUGAUCACUUUCUGUAUAUACAUAUUUGCAGUAAAUUGAUCAUAAACCUAAAAACUUGUCUAAUGAAAGUUUCAUCAAAAUGGAAAGGUCUCACCGACAGAUUUUCUAAUGCUUUCUAGCAACAGUUCAGUUCUUCACUAUCUGUAGUCUUGUCACCUCUUUGGGAGGGAAAGCAAACAAAUGCAGUAGGUCAUUACAUAAAUUAGUCCUAAUCAAAGUCUUGGUCAUACAAACUUUUCUGCAAAGCCACAAGGAAGGUCCUGUAUGGGGAAGUUCUGAAAAAGUUUCUGUGCUGUUCCUUGUUGCUUUGAACCUGUGCCCUGUAAGGGGAAUUUAGGCCUUUAACUACUUCAAAAUGAAAACUCCAGCUUUUUUGCAUUCUUUCUUUGAUUUUAAUGUUGAUAGUGCUAGUUUAUUUUGAAAUCAAUAAUCUUGUUGCACAGCAUUUUCCGUUAAAAAAAUGUGAAUAGUCUGAAUGAGGAAACCUUGAGCUGAAAACGGCUGAAAACCAGAACGGUUUUCAAACCAAAGUACUGUGUGUGUUGAUGAUGUAGCAAAUGAAUGUGGUUGCAAUAAUUUAAUGUGGAAGUCUUUUUUUUUUUUUUUCUAUUGGGACUCUAUUUUUAUGGGAAAGUUACUUACAGUAAAAGAGUGCAAUUGUGCUGGUAGAUAACUGGAUGGAGAAUUGUAUUUGUUACCUUGCUACAAGUAAAAACGGCAAAACCUUGACAACUCUUGUAUCAUUACAAGUCAGUAUUUGUUGAUUGCUGUUUGCCCACACUGAAUUUAUUACUUCUAAUAAGAACUCAGACAUCUUCAGUUUUUCUCUCCGAACAGUAGUGUAUAAUAACCAUUUUCUAAAGAGCAGACGACACUGGUAUUCCCCAGCGUUAGUAGAAUCCCUCUUAUAGUAUUUGGAAAAUACUUCUUUUCUCUCAUAUUUUAGAGAAGGGAGUAAAUAUAGUAUUUUUUUCACCAUUUUUGCUACAACAAUGUUAGAAAUAUUUGUUUUUCAAAAACACUAGAAUUUUUGUUUAUUUCAGCUAUUUGGCUACAGCUCUGCAAAGCUGAGGCUUUUUUAACGAGGCAGUGAAUGACAGCCUGGAUGCAGAAUGUAUUUUCUUUUUUUUUUUUUUUUUUUUUUUUUGUAGACUUAAAACUUAUCUUACAGGCUUGCAAUGAUGUGAAAUCCUCCUGAAAGCAGAUUGUUAGAUGACUGAACAAAUGAUGGGCAGUUGAAACUUAGGGACACUUAAUGGAAACUACUCAGCUAAGACUGUGUGCAUCUUAUUGUGAAUGUUCCUGAUGUAAUAUAAUAAGACAUUAUGUUCAUCCAGUGAUGGGUGUCUGAUCUAUUUGAUUUUAAAAAUCUGGAUCGCUUUAAGAACUUUCACAAGAUGCAUGCUGAAUAAGUGUAAUGAUUCUGUGAGCUAGAAUAUUGUUAGCCAUUGUGAACAGUACUGAAAGAGUCUCUCUAUAUAUAAUGUGAUGGAUGCAAUUUUGUUUGAAAUUUUUUUCCAAGGCCAAUUUAAUUUUGAUUUAUUUGCCUCAUUAACCCAAGGAUUCAGAAAAUUGAAUGCCACCUGAAUGGGGUAUUAUUAACACUAGUGAAACAUCUUCAAAAUCACUCCGCGCUUAUAAAUUGGUCUUUUGAAAGCAUUUUAAAGGCAUAACGAUACUGUUGUGAAAAUGCACAGCAUCCUUUAAAAAUUGCAAAAUGCUUAUCUGAUUUCUGAAAUAAGAGUUGGUCACCUGACUUAAAUGUAUACUGAUCUAUUAUUUAUGCUUUGAAAAUAGAGCUGAUAAAAAGCAUAAGUGUUCUUGAUAUUAUAUUUUGUCAUAUCUGGCGAAAAAGAUUGAAAUCCAGAGAAACAAUUUUCUGAAGAAAUGAAAUAGUAUGCCCUCCUGAACCCCUGGGGAAAAUAGCCUCUCUGUUUGCUCAGAAUAUGAAACAGUAAAACAGCAUAAGUAAAACAGACAGCCCAUGUCACAUUGCUAUUUGUACAGUUUGGAAUGAUGUUUUAAAAACAUUUUCUAGUUAUUUUUGAUAAAUAAAUGGUGCAAAUAACAUCUGCA